rnacentral:rRNA from 1 species
AGAGUUUGAUCCUGGCUCAGGAUGAACGCUAGCGGGAGGCUUAACACAUGCAAGUCGAGGGGUAACAUUGUUGCUUGCAACAGAUGACGACCGGCGCACGGGUGAGUAACGCGUAUGCAACCUACCUUUUACAGGGGAAUAGCCCAGAGAAAUUUGGAUUAAUGCCCCAUGGUACCAAUUUAACGCCUGUUAAAUUGGUUAAAGAUUUAUUGGUAAGAGAUGGGCAUGCGUGACAUUAGAUUGUUGGUGAGGUAACGGCUCACCAAGUCUACGAUGUCUAGGGGUUCUGAGAGGAUGAUCCCCCACACUGGUACUGAGACACGGACCAGACUCCUACGGGAGGCAGCAGUGAGGAAUAUUGGUCAAUGGGCGCAAGCCUGAACCAGCCAUCCCGCGUGAAGGAUGACUGCCCUAUGGGUUGUAAACUUCUUUUAUAUACCAAGAAUGGCUAUUACGUGUAGUAGUUUGACGGUAGUACAUGAAUAAGCAUCGGCUAACUCCGUGCCAGCAGCCGCGGUAAUACGGAGGAUGCGAGCGUUAUCCGGAUUCAUUGGGUUUAAAGGGUACGUAGGCGGUCUAAUAAGUCAGUGGUGAAAUCCUGCGGCUCAACCGUAGAACUGCCAUUGAUACUGUUAGACUUGAAUAUAGUUGAGGUAGGCGGAAUGUGUUGUGUAGCGGUGAAAUGCUUAGAUAUAACACAGAACACCGAUUGCCAAGGCAGCUUACUAGACUAUUAUUGACGCUGAGGUACGAAAGCGUGGGGAGCGAACAGGAUUAGAUACCCUGGUAGUCCACGCUGUAAACGAUGUUCACUCGCUGUAUGCGAUACACAGUAUGCGGCCAAGCGAAAGCAUUAAGUGAACCACCUGGGGAGUACGUCGGCAACGGUGAAACUCAAAGGAAUUGACGGGGGCCCGCACAAGCGGAGGAACAUGUGGUUUAAUUCGAUGAUACGCGAGGAACCUUACCUGGGCUUAAAUGUAGAUUGCAUGAUGUAGAAAUACACUUCCCUUCGGGGCUAUCUACAAGGUGCUGCAUGGUUGUCGUCAGCUCGUGCCGUGAGGUGUCGGGUUAAGUCCCAUAACGAGCGCAACCCUUAUCGUUAGUUGCCAUCAGGUGAUGCUGGGGACUCUAGCGAGACUGCCACCGUAAGGUGAGAGGAAGGUGGGGAUGACGUCAAAUCAGCACGGCCCUUAUGUCCAGGGCUACACACGUGUUACAAUGGUCGGUACAAAGGGCAGCUACACUGCGAAGUGAUGCUAAUCUCUAAAGCCGGUCUCAGUUCGGAUCGGAGUCUGCAACUCGACUCCGUGAAGUUGGAUUCGCUAGUAAUCGGAUAUCAGCCAUGAUCCGGUGAAUACGUUCCCGGGCCUUGUACACACCGCCCGUCAAACCAUGGAAGCUGGGGGUGCCUGAAGUCUGUCACCGUAAGGAGCGGCCUAGGGUAAAACCGGUAACUGGGGUUAAGUCGUAACAAGGUA